rnacentral:rRNA from 1 species
GUGGGGAAUAUUGGACAAUGGGCGCAAGCCUGAUCCAGCCAUGCCGCGUGAGUGAUGAAGGCCUUAGGGUUGUAAAGCUCUUUCACCGGAGAAGAUAAUGACGGUAUCCGGAGAAGAAGCCCCGGCUAACUUCGUGCCAGCAGCCGCGGUAAUACGAAGGGGGCUAGCGUUGUUCGGAAUUACUGGGCGUAAAGCGCACGUAGGCGGACAUUUAAGUCAGGGGUGAAAUCCCGGGGCUCAACCUCGGAACUGCCUUUGAUACUGGGUGUCUAGAGUAUGGAAGAGGUAAGUGGAAUUGCGAGUGUAGAGGUGAAAUUCGUAGAUAUUCGCAGGAACACCAGUGGCGAAGGCGGCUUACUGGUCCAUUACUGACGCUGAGGUGCGAAAGCGUGGGGAGCAAACAGGAUUAGAAACCCUGGUAGUCC